rnacentral:rRNA from 1 species
GACGAACGCUGGCGGCGUGCUUAACACAUGCCAGUCGAACGGUGAAGCUCCAGCUUGCUGGAGUGGAUCAGUGGCGAACGGGUGAGUAACACGUGAGCAACCUGCCCCUGACUCUGGAAUAAGCGCUGGAAACGGCGUCUAAUACUGGAUAUGAGAAGGGUCCGCAUGGACACUUUCUGGAAAGUUUUUCGGUUGGGGAUGGGCUCGCGGCCUAUCAGCUUGUUGGUGAGGUAAUGGCUCACCAAGGCGACGACGGGUAGCCGGCCUGAGAGGGCGACCGGCCACACUGGGACUGAGACACGGCCCAGACUCCUACGGGAGGGAGGAGGGGGGAAUAUUGCACAAUGGGCGAAAGCCUGAUGCAGCGACGCCGCGUGGGGGAUGACGGCCUUCGGGGUGUAAACCUCUUUCAGCAGGGAAGAAGCGAAAGGGACGGUCCCUGCAGAAGAAGCACCGGCCAACUACGG